GACGAACGCUGGCGGCGUGCUUAACACAUGCAAGUCGAACGAUGAAAGUGGAGCUUGCUCCGCUGGAUUAGUGGCGAACGGGUGAGUAACACGUGGGCAACCUGCCCCAGACUCUGGGAUAACUCCUCGAAAGAGGUGCUAAUACCGGAUACGAACUCCUUGGGCAUCCUUGGAGUUGGAAAGUUUUUCGGUCUGGGUUGGGCCCGCGGCCUAUCAGCUUGUUGGUGGGGUGGUGGCCCACCAAGGCGACGACGGGUAGCCGGCCUGAGAGGGCGCCCGGCCACACUGGGACGGAGACACGGCCCAGACUCCUACGGGAGGCAGCAGUGGGGAAUAUUGCACAAUGGGCGCAAGCCUGAUGCAGCACCGCCGCGUGAGGGAUGACGGCCUUCGGGUUGUAACCCUCUUUUAGUAGGGAAGAAGCGAAAGUGACGGUACCUGCAGAAAAAGCCCCGGCUAACUACGUGCCAGCAGCCGCGGUAA
rnacentral:rRNA from 1 species